GCGGAAGUAGUUUAGUGGCAGAAUAUCUCGUUGCCAACGAGGUGGCCCGGGUCCGAUUCCCGGUUUCCGCA
rnacentral:tRNA from 1 species